UACGUAGGGGGCUAGCGUUAUCCGGAAUUACUGGGCGUAAAGGGUGCGUAGGUGGUUUCUUAAGUCAGAGGUGAAAGGCUACGGCUCAGCCGUAGUAAGCCUUUGAAACUGGGGAACUUGAGUGCAGGAGAGGAGAGUGGAAUUCCUAGUGUAGCGGUGAAAUGCGUAGAUAUUAGGAGGAACACCAGUUGCGAAGGCGGCUCUCUGGACUGUAACUGACACUGAGGCACGAAAGCGUGGGGAGCAAACAGG
rnacentral:rRNA from 1 species